GCGGGAGUAGCUCAGUUGGUAGAGCGCAACCUUGCCAAGGUUGAGCUCGAGAGUUCGAGACUCUUCUCCCGCUCCA
rnacentral:tRNA from 1 species